rnacentral:rRNA from 1 species
GACAGAGGUUGCAAGCGUUGUUCGGAAUUACUGGGCAUAAAGCGCACGUAGGCGGUCCGUUAAGUCAUGUGUGAAAUCCCCCGGCUCAACCGGGGAAUUGCGCCUGAUACUGGCGGGCUAGAGAUCGAUAGGGGUGAGUGGAACUCCAGGUGGAGCGGUGAAAUGCGUAGAUAUCUGGAGGAACACCGGUGGCGAAAGCGGCUCACUGGAUCGAUACUGACGCUGAGGUGCGAAAGCUAGGGUAGCAAACGGG